UACGUAGGUGGCAAGCGUUGUCCGGAUUUAUUGGGUUUACAGGGUGCGUAGGCGGCUUUGUACGUCAGUGGUGAAAUAUGGCAGCUCAACUGUCAAGGUGCCAUUGAUACUGCAGAGCUUGAGUACAGAUGAGGUAGGCGGAAUUGACGGUGUAGCGGUGAAAUGCUUAGAUAUCGUCAAGAACACCUAUAGCGAAGGCAGCUUACUAGGCUGUAACUGACGCUGAGGCACGAAAGUGUGGGGAUCAAACAGG
rnacentral:rRNA from 1 species